rnacentral:rRNA from 1 species
UACGUAGGGGGCAAGCGUUGUCCGGAUUUAUUGGGCGUAAAGAGCGUGUAGGCGGCCGUACAGGUCAGCUGUGAAAACUCGAGGCUCAACCUCGAGACGUCGGUUGAAACCGUACGGUUAGAGUCCGGAAGAGGAGAGUGGAAUUCCCGGUGUAGCGGUGAAAUGCGCAGAUAUCGGGAAGAACACCCGUGGCGAAGGCGGCUCUCUGGGACGGUACUGACGCUGAGACGCGAAGGCGUGGGGAGCGAACAGG